GGUCAGGACGAACGCUGGCGGCGUGCCUAAAACAUGCAAGUCGAACGGAGCACCCCGGACAGAGACUCGGUCAAUAGAAGGGAAUGCUAGUGGCGGACGGGUGAGUAACGCGUGAGUAACCUGCCUCAAAGAGGGGGACAACAGUUGGAAACGACUGCUAAUACCGCAUAAUGCAUAUAUAUCGCAUGGUGUAUAUGCCAAAGAUUUAUCGCUUUGAGAUGGACUCGCGUCUGAUUAGAUAGUUGGCGGGGUAACGGCCCACCCAAGUCGACGAUCAGUAGCCGGACUGAGAGGUUGAACGGCCACAUUGGGACUGAGAUACGGCCCAGACUCCUACGGGAGGCAGCAGUUGGGAAUAUUGCGCAAUGGGGGAAACCCUGACGCAGCAACGCCGCGUGAAGGAAGACGGUCUUCGGAUUGUAAACUUCUUUUAUUGAGGACGAAACAAAUGACGGUACUUAAUGAAUAAGCUCCGGCUAACUACGUGCCAGCAGCUGC
rnacentral:rRNA from 1 species